CACACUCCUGCGGGAGGCAGCAGUGGGGAAUAUUGGACAAUGGGCGCAAGCCUGAUCCAGCCAUGCCGCGUGAGUGAUGAAGGCCCUAGGGUUGUAAAGCUCUUUCACCGGUGAAGAUAAUGACGGUAACCGGAGAAGAAGCCCCGGCUAACUUCGUGCCAGCAGCCGCGGUAAUACGACGGGGGCUAGCGUUGUUCGGAUUUACUGGGCGUAAAGCGCACGUAGGCGGACUAUUAAGUCAGGGGUGAAAUCCCGGGGCUCAACCCCGGAACUGCCUUUGAUACUGGUAGUCUUGAGUGCGAGAGAGGUGAGUGGAAUUCCGAGUGUAGAGGUGAAAUUCGUAGAUAUUCGGAGGAACACCAGUGGCGAAGGCGGCGCACUGGCUCGAUACUGACGCUGAGGUGCGAAAGCGUGGGGAGCAAACAGGAUUAGAAACCCCUGUAGUCCCA
rnacentral:rRNA from 1 species